rnacentral:rRNA from 1 species
GAAUAUUGGACAAUGGGCGAAAGCCUGAUCCGGCACUGCCGCGUGAGUGAUGAAGGCCUUAGGGUUGUAAAGCUCUUUUACCAGGGAUGAUAAUGACAGUACCUGGAGAAUAAGCUCCGGCUAACUCCGUGCCAGCAGCCGCGGUCAUACGGAGGGAGCUAGCGUUGUUCGGAAUUACUGGGCGUAAAGCGGGCGUAGGCGGCUUUGUAAGUUAGAGGUGAAAGCCCGGGGCUCAACCCCGGAACUGCCUUUAAGACUGCAGAGCUAGAGUCUUGGAGAGGUGAGUGGAAUUCCGAGUGUAGAGGUGAAAUUCGUAGAUAUUCGGAAGAACACCAGUGGCGAAGGCGACUCACUGGACAAGUACUGACGCUGAGGUGCGAAAGCGUGGGGAGCAAACAGG